AUUCAACCCCUUGAAUUCCUGAUAUCAUUUCUAUUCUGUGUUUUCAGGUGGGAAGUUUUUGAGAUUAUUAUGGUUACCCCUGGAAAUUGCAAAAUGUAAGAACUCUCACACAAUCGCAGCAAAAAUACCGUUGGAAGAAAAUGCUUCAAAGAAACUGGAUAUUCUACCACUAAAAAUGAUUUUGUUCGUUGAAAGAUAUUUGAAGGAUGCGCCAACACAGCCAGACAGAAGAAAAAGAUGUAUCAGGAGAAAAAGUUUGAGAAUUCUUGGUGUAGAAUAUAGUGCGCGUGUUAUUGCAUUGAAAUAUAAUUCUCAAGCAUAUAAGUUGUGUGUACCGUGUUACACACAACUUAUAUGCUUGAGAGAUACAGGGAAGAGGGGUUGACUGUGUAGAAUAAACAUUCAAACACCAGGAAAUGCUGAAAUUAAUUGCAGGGUAUGGUGGAAAUGAUUUCAGGAAAAAUUUAUGCAACUUUCAAAUAUUAAAAAAAAAAAAAAA
rnacentral:misc_RNA from 1 species